GACUGCCAAGUGUAGUCCCUAGCUAGCAACCUCUUCACAGGAACAAGGCCACCCCACGGAAGAGAGCAUGCAUCUUUGAUGAACAGUCAUCCAACCUUCACUGUGAAUUUAUGUCACAUAAAAACAAGCAAAAGUUCCACACUAAGAAAUGCAUCUUGUAGAUUCGCUGGUUAAAGUACAUCAAGCUACAUGUACAAGGAGGCUCACUGAAGCAUUUUAUAUAGUUGCAAAAAAGCAGAAUGAGCAGACAAGAACUAGAAACAACUUCCACAUCUUCCACCAAGAAGCCUGUAAGUUCAGGCAUAUGGCACAACCCAACGGUGGUUACCAGGCAGUACAUAAAAAGAACAAUGUGGAGCCAUGUGCCCUAAAAAAUAAAAGAAUUUCCAAAAAAGCCAGAA